UGAGUAACCUGCCCUUAACUCUGGGAUAAGCCUGGGAAACUGGGUCUAAUACCGGAUAUGACUCCUCAUCGCAUGGUGGGGGGUGGAAAGCUUUAUUGUGGUUUUGGAUGGACUCGCGGCCUAUCAGCUUGUUGGUGAGGUAAUGGCUCACUAAGGCGACGACGGGUAGCCGGCCUGAGAGGGUGACCGGCCACACUGGGACUGAGACACGGCCCAGACUCCGUACGGGAGGCAG
rnacentral:rRNA from 1 species